rnacentral:lncRNA from 1 species
ACAGUUGCCGAGUCGACUCGAAAAAAGCAUGAGUCGACUCCCGCUACAGCCGAGUCGACUCCUGAUCGCGCGAGUCGACUCCAACCCACCAACGGUCAUAUUGUCAGGCUGCGCAGAGUGUGCAGAACGGCCAGAAAAAGCAGAGUAACGGCUAGUUUCCGUGGGGGUUGGCUUAAAUAGCCACAGAGGACUGUAGCAAGGUAGAGAAUAGAUAUUCCACUCCAAGCAUUCAAGUUUUCAAGCUCUCCAAGUGCU